AUGUACCACUCGUACAAUCCGGUUCCUGCGCGCCGUCCGCGCCCACCUGGCGGCU
rnacentral:sRNA from 1 species